AUAGUAUUUCCUUCGUCCAACAAAAAUGUGUCUUAAGUUUAUCAAAAUUUGGAUGUAUCUAGACAUGAGCUAGUGCAUAGAUGCAUUCAAAUUUGGUCAAAGUUGAGACAUUUUUUGUUGGACAGAGAGAGUAUAAC
rnacentral:pre_miRNA from 1 species